UACGAAGGGGGCUAGCGUUGCUCGGAAUUACUGGGCGUAAGCGCACGUAGGCGGAUUGUUAAGUCGGGGUGAAAUCCUGGAGCUCAACUCCAGAACUGCCUUCGAUACUGGCGAUCUCGAGUUCGGGAGAGGUGAGUGGAACUGCGAGUGUAGAGGUGAAAUUCGUAGAUAUUCGCAAGAACACCAGUGGCGAAGGCGGCUCACUGGCCCGAUACUGACGCUGAGGUGCGAAAGCGUGGGGAGCAAACAGG
rnacentral:rRNA from 1 species